GACCGCUCCGGUGGCUUAAUGGUUAGAGCGUCCACCACGGAUGCGUGAGACUGCGGGUUUCGAACCCCGGCCGAGUCA